rnacentral:rRNA from 1 species
AUUGAACGCUGGCGGCAGGCCUAACACAUGCAAGUCGAGCGGAUGAAGGGAGCUUGCUCCUGGAUUCAGCGGCGGACGGGUGAGUAAUGCCUAGGAAUCUGCCUGGUAGUGGGGGGUAACGUCCGGAAACGGGCGCUAAUACCGCAUACGUCCUGAGGGAGAAAGUGGGGGAUCUUCGGGCCUCACGCUAUCAGAUGAGCCUAGGUCGGAUUAGCUAGUUGGUGGGGUAAAGGCCUACCAAGGCGACGAUCCGUAACUGGUCUGAGAGGAUGAUCAGUCACACUGGAACUGAGACACGGUCCAGACUCCUACGGGAGGCAGCAGUGGGGAAUAUUGGACAAUGGGCGAAAGCCUGAUCCAGCCAUGCCGCGUGUGCGAAGAAGGUCUUCGGAUUGUAAAGCACUUUAAGUUGGGAGGAAGGGCAGUAAGUUAAUACCUUGCUGUUUUGACGUUACCAACAGAAUAAGCACCGGCUAACUUCGUG